rnacentral:rRNA from 1 species
GAUGAACGCUGGCGGCGUGCCUAAUACAUGCAAGUCGAGCGAACAGACAAGGAGCUUGCUCCUCUGACGUUAGCGGCGGACGGGUGAGUAACACGUGGAUAACCUACCUAUAAGACUGGGAUAACUUCGGGAAACCGGAGCUAAUACCGGAUAAUAUAUUGAACCGCAUGGUUCAAUAGUGAAAGACGGUUUUGCUGUCACUUAUAGAUGGAUCCGCGCCGCAUUAGCUAGUUGGUAAGGUAACGGCUUACCAAGGCGACGAUGCGUAGCCGACCUGAGAGGGUGAUCGGCCACACUGGAACUGAGACACGGUCCAGACUCCUACGGGAGGCAGCAGUAGGGAAUCUUCCGCAAUGGGCGAAAGCCUGACGGAGCAACGCCGCGUGAGUGAUGAAGGUCUUCGGAUCGUAAAACUCUGUUAUUAGGGAAGAACAAAUAUGUAAGUAACUAUGCACGUCUUGACGGUACCUAAUCAGAAAGCCACGGCUAACUACGUG